rnacentral:rRNA from 1 species
AGAGAGAGACAUGCGCGCAUAUCAAUAAGCGGAGGAAAAGAAACUAACAAGGAUUCCCUUAGUAACGGCGAGUGAAGCGGGAAGAGCUCAAAUUUGAAAUCUUCAAGGUUUUACCUUGAUGAAUUGUAGUUUAAAGAAGUGUUUUCUGUUGAAGUUUUGGUAAAAGUUCUUUGGAAUAGGACAUCAUAGAGGGUGAGAAUCCCGUAUUUGACCAUUAUUUUCAGCUGUGUGAUACACUUUCAAAGAGUCGGAUUGUUUGGGAAUGCAGUCCAAAAUGGGUGGUAAAUUUCAUCUUAAGCUAAAUAUUGGCGAGAGACCGAUAGCGAACAAGUACCGUGAGGGAAAGAUGAAAAGAACUUUGAAAAGAGAGUUAAACAGUACGUGAAAUUGUCAAAAGGGAAGCGUUUGACACCAGUGUUGUUUUUCCGAAAAUCAAUUACGAAUGUUUUAUUUUUGAGGAGUUAUGACUUCAUCGGCUUGCUCCUUUCUUUACGAAACUUUCUUAAUGCACUUUUCGGUUAACAAGUCAACAUCAAUUUCUUUUGUUGUAAAAGAGUCAUUGGAAGGUGGCUUUCUUUUCGGAGAAAGUGUUUAUAGCCUUUGACUUCUGCAAUCGGAGAGAUUGAGGUCUGCAGCGUAGAUCCUUCGGGGUUAGAUGCAUUUGUGCUAAGCUAUAGCCUUUCAUAGACAACUUGUUGACUAUGAUCAGUCAUGUAGCUUACUCGCUUAUGUCAUUUUACCUACGCUUAGGAUGUUGACAGCAGUAUAGACUGU